AACGAGGAGUACACUCAAUGCAUUGGAGAUCCUACUGGGAUCAGAGUUGUGGACUGAGUGUAUCUAAAAGAAGAGAUCAGUCCUUGGUGUUCAUUGGAAGGACUGAUGCUGAAGCUGAAACUCCAAUACUUUGGCCACCUGAUGGAGAGAGCUGACUCAUUUGAAAAGACCCGGAUGCUGGGAAAGAUUGAGGGCAGGAGAAGAAGGGGACGACAGAAGAUGAGAUGGUUGGAUGGCAUCACCGAUUCAACGGACAUAAGUUUGGGUGAACUCCAGGAGUUGGUGAUGGACAGGGAGGCCUGUCGUGCUGCAGUUCAUGGGGUCACAAGGAGUCGGACACGACUGAGCGACUGAACUGAACUGAAUCUAACCUUAUAUUUUAUCUAGUCUUUACCAUUCUACAGGUGCUCACCUGUUGGAAUAAUCGCUGGGGAGAAAAAAAUAUGAGAGCUUAAUAAAAGGAUUGUCUCUGUUUACGGAAAUCAUACAUGACACCCCACAACACAUAAAAUACAUCUGAAUCCAUUCAUACAAGUACCUUUUUCAAAGCAUUUCAAUAAACACUAUUC
ensembl:lncRNA